rnacentral:tRNA from 1 species
GGUUCCAUGGUCUAGUGGUCAGGACAUUGGACUUUGAAUCCAAUAGCCCGAGUUCGACUCUCGGUGGGACCUC